GCACACCUGUAAUCCCAGCUACUCGGGAGGCUGAGGCUGGAGGAUCGCUUGAGUCCAGGAGUUCUGGGCUGUAGUGCGCUAUGCCGAUCGGGUGUCCGCACUAAGUUCGGCAUCAAUAUGGUGACCUCCCGGGAGCGGGGGACCACCAGGUUGCCUAAGGAGGGGUGAACCGGCCCAGGUCGGAAACGGAGCAGGUCAAAACUCCCGUGCUGAUCAGUAGUGGGAUCGCGCCUGUGAAUAGCCACUGCACUCCAGCCUGGGCAACAUAGCGAGACCCCGUCUCU
rnacentral:SRP_RNA from 1 species